rnacentral:rRNA from 1 species
AGAGUUUGAUCAUGGCUCAGGAUGAACGCUGGCGGCGUGCCUAAUACAUGCAAGUCGAGCGAACAGACAAGGAGCUUGCUCCUUUGACGUUAGCGGCGGACGGGUGAGUAACACGUGGGUAACCUACCUAUAAGACUGGGAUAACUUCGGGAAACCGGAGCUAAUACCGGAUAAUAUUUCGAACCGCAUGGUUCGAUAGUGAAAGAUGGUUUUGCUAUCACUUAUAGAUGGACCCGCGGCGUAUUAGCUAGUUGGUAAGGUAACGGCUUACCAAGGCGACGAUACGUAGCCGACCUGAGAGGGUGAUCGGCCACACUGGAACUGAGACACGGUCCAGACUCCUACGGGAGGCAGCAGUAGGGAAUCUUCCGCAAUGGGCGAAAGCCUGACGGAGCAACGCCGCGUGAGUGAUGAAGGUCUUCGGAUCGUAAAACUCUGUUAUUAGGGAAGAACAUACGUGUAAGUAACUGUGCACGUCUUGACGGUACCUAAUCAGAAAGCCACGGCUAACUACGUGCCAGCAGCCGCGGUAAUACGUAGGUGGCAAGCGUUAUCCGGAAUUAUUGGGCGUAAAGCGCGCGUAGGCGGUUUUUUAAGUCUGAUGUGAAAGCCCACGGCUCAACCGUGGAGGGUCAUUGGAAACUGGAAAACUUGAGUGCAGAAGAGGAAAGUGGAAUUCCAUGUGUAGCGGUGAAAUGCGCAGAGAUAUGGAGGAACACCAGUGGCGAAGGCGACUUUCUGGUCUGUAACUGACGCUGAUGUGCGAAAGCGUG